UAUUGUUGUUAUCAUAACUGCAGCUGUACUUAUCAUUUUUGAUAAAAAAUGAAAAAAACAUUUUUGAUUUGAAAAAAAAAACAGUCCUCCGCAGAGGAGGGGUGGUGGAGGGAAUAUACAUGUAAAAAAAAUAAUUAUUAUAUGGAGGUUGAUGUUGCUAUUUAUUGUUAUUGUUGUUAUCAUAACUGCUGCUGUACUUAUCAUUUUUGUUAUUGCUAUUACUAUUGUUAUUGGCUCUAGUUGUUUUUCUUUUUUUUCUUUUUAUUAUUUUUAUUUUCUUUUUGUUUUUCUUUAUUUUUGUGUUUUUUUUCUUCAUAAUGGAAAUUUAAAAUAAAGUAGUCCUCCGCAGAGGAGGGGUGGUGGAGGGAAUAUGCAUGUAAAAAAAAAUAAUUGUCACGCAACAGGGGUGACAUAUAUCUCCCUGAGCCUGCGCAGUUUGUCGGGUGUUAUGGGUGGUCCCGAAGGGGUCUGACCCCCUCUGCUGGUGGUGGGCUGGGUUGGUGCGUGAGUUGUGUCACUGUGGGUCAGGGUCCUGACGGGUAUUCCGGGUACUUUGGGACACUACGUGCGUCGAAGGCGGCUUUGUGGUUUGGUCUUGUGCUGGGUGGGGGUGCCAACCUUCUUCUGUGGCCCUGGGUUCGGCUUCCUGGAAAGUGGGGUGGGCCCUUUUCACGGCCCCCCUCUACUUCCCGCUCCCCCUCAGCACUACUGGUGGUCGCAUGCCGGGGGGUCAGAAUGGGGGGGGUGUCGCUGCUACUCCCCACAUCAACUAUUAGCACAUCCAUGGACAAAUCGCUACAUUCACACACAAGCAUAAAUACAUACAUAUAUAGGUAUGCAUCCACACUUACCUGUACACCCCACACAUGUAGAUACACAUACACAACCAAUAGCAGACACGUUGUUUUUCUUUGUUUAUUUUUUGUGUUUUUUUUUGUUUGAAAUGGAAAUUAAAAAUAAAGCAGUCCUCCGCAGAGGAGGGGUGGUGGAGGGAAUAUAUAUGUAGAUAUAUAAAAUAAUUGUCUCACAACUAGGGUGACAUACCUUGCCUGCUCACUCAAUUUUAGUGCUCCUUAGUUAUCCAUACUGACCAUCUAGUCUCUGUCACGGGAGAUCGCGGGCAGAGCGGCGAUCGUGCGUGCAGGCGGGCAAGGACAGGCAGACAAGCAGAAAUCGGGGCAAAGUACGGGGUUUAAUCGGGGACACGGAACUACGAACACUGACUGACAUCAAUGACGGACGAAGGACUCAGGUAAGACACGGACUGAAAUACACAGGACUGAGCAAAUGAACUAGAUACAGCUGGGUACAAUUGGGAGAAAACACGUGGGUAAUCAGGGGGCGUGGCACACAGGAGGAGCGGACGAGCCGGGCAUGACAGAACCCCCCCCCAAAGGCGCGCUACUCCGGGCGCGCCAAGGAAGGGGGCGACGGACGGGACGAGGCAAAACAGGACCUGAAAAACAAGAACAGAAUCAACGCAGGACGGGGAACAGGACCGAAGCACAAAACAUGGCAAGAGACAGAACGUAGGACAGGAGCUGACAAAGGGCUGGGAAAGCGGAGAGACAGAUCUGUCACGGGAGAUCGCGGGCAGAGCAGCGAUCGUGCGUGCAGGCGGGCAAGGACAGGCAGACAAGCAGAAAUCGGGGCAAAGUACGGGGUUUAAUCGGGGACACGGAACUACGAACACUGACUGACAUCAAUGACGGACGAAGGACUCAGGUAAGACACGGACUGAAAUACACAGGACUGAGCAAAUGAACUAGAUACAGCUGGGUACAAUCGGGAGAAAACACGUGGGUAAUCAGGGGGCGUGGCACACAGGAGGAGCGGACGAGCCGGGCAUGACAGUCUCGAUACACCCAUAUAUAUAUUUUUUUGGGAAUAUGGUGGGGUGCACGGGAUUGCGCCGUCUGCCAGCGGUGGGGAGCUCGUACCCUGACCACUCCCUCACUUUUAAUGUACCGCAGUUUUGAAUUGCACACACUUCUGUUCACACACACAUUCAUACACACCGACAUGUACAUACAUUACACACACACACAUUGAGCGGGGGGGCAGAUGGGGGCCUGAAGAGGGCCCCUUUUAUUCUCCCUCUCUGGGCCCUUGGAGGGUGUGGUGGGUGGUCCCGGGGGGGGUUUGGAGAGUACCCGGAAAACCUGCCUGGUCCUUGACCCACAGUGGCACAUCCUUGAUGAUAAUACGUUGUUGUAAAUUUGUAUUAUGUGGUGGUUGAUGUUGCUAUUUAUUGUUAUUGUUGUUAUCACAGCUGCAGCUGUACUUAUCAUUUUUGUUAUUGCUAUUAAUUUUGUUAUUGGCUCUAGUUUUUCUUUUUAUUUAUUUUUAUUAUUUUUAUUUUCUUUUUGUUUUUCUUAAUUUUUUGUUUUUUUUACGCAAUGGACAUGAAAAAAAAAACAGUCCUCCGCAGAGGAGGGGUGGUGGAGGGAAUAUACAUGUAAAAAAAAAUAAUUAUUAUAUGGAGGUUGAUGUUGCUAUUUAUUGUUAUUGUUGUUAUCAUAACUGCAGCUGUACUUAUCAUUUUUGAUAAAAAAUGAAAAAAACAUUUUUGAUUUGAAAAAAAAAACAGUCCUCCGCAGAGGAGGGGUGGUGGAGGGAAUAUACAUGUAAAAAAAAAUAUUAUUAUAUGAAGGUUGAUGUUGCUAUUUAUUGUUAUUGUUGUUAUCAUAACUGCAGCUGUACUUAUCAUUUUUGAUAAAAAAUGAAAAAAACAUUUUUGAUUUGAAAAAAAAAACAGUCCUCCGCAGAGGAGGGGUGGUGGAGGGAAUAUACAUGUAAAAAAAAAUAUUAUUAUAUGAAGGUUGAUGUUGCUAUUUAUUGUUAUUGUUGUUAUCAUAACUGCUGCUGUACUUAUCAUUUUUGUUAUUGCUAUUACUAUUGUUAUUGGCUCUAGUUGUUUUUCUUUUUUUUAUUUUUAUUAUUUUUAUUUUCUUUUUGUUUUUCUUUGUUUUUGUGUUUUUUUUCUUCAUAAUGGAAAUUUAAAAUAAAGUAGUCCUCCGCAGAGGAGGGGUGGUGGAGGGAAUAUGCAUGUAAAAAAAAAUAAUUGUCACGCAACAGGGGUGACAUAUAUCUCCCUGAGCCUGCGCAGUUUGUCGGGUGUUAUGGGUGGUCCCGAAGGGGUCUGACCCCCUCUGCUGGUGGUGGGCUGGGUUGGUGCGUGAGUUGUGUCACUGUGGGUCAGGGUCCUGACGGGUAUUCCGGGUACUUUGGGACACUACGUGCGUCGAAGGCGGCUUUGUGGUUUGGUCUUGUGCUGGGUGGGGGUGCCAACCUUCUUCUGUGGCCCUGGGUUCGGCUUCCUGGAAAGUGGGGUGGGCCCUUUUCACGGCCCCCCUCUACUUCCCGCUCCCCCUCAGCACUACUGGUGGUCGCAUGCCGGGGGGUCAGAAUGGGGGGGGUGUCGCUGCUACUCCCCACAUCAACUAUUAGCACAUCCAUGGACAAAUCGCUACAUUCACACACAAGCAUAAAUACAUACAUAUAUAGGUAUGCAUCCACACUUACCUGUACACCCCACACAUGUAGAUACACAUACACAACCAAUAGCAGACACGUUGUUUUUCUUUGUUUAUUUUUUGUGUUUUUUUUUGUUUGAAAUGGAAAUUAAAAAUAAAGCAGUCCUCCGCAGAGGAGGGGUGGUGGAGGGAAUAUAUAUGUAGAUAUAUAAAAUAAUUGUCUCACAACUAGGGUGACAUACCUUGCCUGCUCACUCAAUUUUAGUGCUCCUUAGUUAUCCAUACUGACCAUCUAGUCUCUGUCACGGGAGAUCGCGGGCAGAGCGGCGAUCGUGCGUGCAGGCGGGCAAGGACAGGCAGACAAGCAGAAAUCGGGGCAAAGUACGGGGUUUAAUCGGGGACACGGAACUACGAACACUGACUGACAUCAAUGACGGACGAAGGACUCAGGUAAGACACGGACUGAAAUACACAGGACUGAGCAAAUGAACUAGAUACAGCUGGGUACAAUUGGGAGAAAACACGUGGGUAAUCAGGGGGCGUGGCACACAGGAGGAGCGGACGAGCCGGGCAUGACAGAACCCCCCCCCAAAGGCGCGCUACUCCGGGCGCGCCAAGGAAGGGGGCGACGGACGGGACGAGGCAAAACAGGACCUGAAAAACAAGAACAGAAUCAACGCAGGACGGGGAACAGGACCGAAGCACAAAACAUGGCAAGAGACAGAACGUAGGACAGGAGCUGACAAAGGGCUGGGAAAGCGGAGAGACAGAUCUGUCACGGGAGAUCGCGGGCAGAGCGGCGAUCGUGCGUGCAGGCGGGCAAGGACAGGCAGACAAGCAGAAAUCGGGGCAAAGUACGGGGUUUAAUCGGGGACACGGAACUACGAACACUGACUGACAUCAAUGACGGACGAAGGACUCAGGUAAGACACGGACUGAAAUACACAGGACUGAGCAAAUGAACUAGAUACAGCUGGGUACAAUCGGGAGAAAACACGUGGGUAAUCAGGGGGCGUGGCACACAGGAGGAGCGGACGAGCCGGGCAUGACAGUCUCGAUACACCCAUAUAUAUAUUUUUUUGGGAAUAUGGUGGGGUGCAUGGGAUUCCGCCGUCUGCCAGCGGUGGGGAGCUCGUACCCUGACCACUCCCUCACUUUUAAUGUACCGCAGUUUUGAAUUGCACACACUUCUGUUCACACACACAUUCAUACACACCGACAUGUACAUACAUUACACACACACACAUUGAGCGGGGGGGCAGAUGGGGGCCUGAAGAGGGCCCCUUUUAUUCUCCCUCUCUGGGCCCUUGGAGGGUGUGGUGGGUGGUCCCGGGGGGGGUUUGGAGAGUACCCGGAAAACCUGCCUGGUCCUUGACCCACAGUGGCACAUCCUUGAUGAUAAUACGUUGUUGUAAAUUUGUAUUAUGUGGUGGUUGAUGUUGCUAUUUAUUGUUAUUGUUGUUAUCACAGCUGCAGCUGUACUUAUCAUUUUUGUUAUUGCUAUUAAUUUUGUUAUUGGCUCUAGUUUUUCUUUUUAUUUAUUUUUAUUAUUUUUAUUUUCUUUUUGUUUUUCUUAAUUUUUUGUUUUUUUUACGCAAUGGACAUGAAAAAAAAAACAGUCCUCCGCAGAGGAGGGGUGGUGGAGGGAAUAUACAUGUAAAAAAAAAUAAUUAUUAUAUGGAGGUUGAUGUUACUAUUUAUUGUUAUUGUUGUUAUCAUAACUGCAGCUGUACUUAUCAUUUUUGAUAAAAAAUGAAAAAAACAUUUUUGAUUUGAAAAAAAAAACAGUCCUCCGCAGAGGAGGGGUGGUGGAGGGAAUAUACAUGUAAAAAAAAAUUAUUAUUAUAUGGAGGUUGAUGUUGCUAUUUAUUGUUAUUGUUGUUAUCAUAACUGCAGCUGUACUUAUCAUUUUUGUUAUUGCUAUUACUAUUGUUAUUGGCUCUAGUUGUUUUUCUUUUUAUUUAUUUUUAUUAUUUUUAUUUUCUUUUUGUUUUUCUUUGUUUUUGUGUUUUUUUUUCUUCAUAAUGGAAAUUUAAAAUAAAGUAGUCCUCCGCAGAGGAGGGGUGGUGGAGGGAAUAUGCAUGUAAAAAAAAAUUAUUGUCACGCAACAGGGGUGACAUAUAUCUCCCUGAGCCUGCGCAGUUUGUCGGGUGUUAUGGGUGGUCCCGAAGGGGUCUGACCCCCUCUGCUGGUGGUGGGCUGGGUUGUUGCGUGAGUUGUGUCACUGUGGGUCAGGGUCCUGACGGGUAUUCCGGGUACUUUGGGACACUACGUGCGUCGAAGGCGGCUUUGUGGUUUGGUCUUGUGCUGGGUGGGGGUGCCUACCUUCUUCUGUGGUCCUGGGUUCGGCUUCCUGGAAAGUGGGGUGGGCCCUUUUCACGGCCCCCCUCUACUUCCCGCUCCCCCUCAGCACUACUGGUGGUCGCAUGCCGGGGGGUCAGAAUGGGGGGGGUGUCGCUGCUACUCCCCACAUCAACUAUUAGCACAUCCAUGGACAAAUCGCUACACUCACACACAAGCAUAAAUACAUACAUAUAUAGGUAUGCAUCCACACUUACCUGUACACCCCACACAUGUAGAUACACAUACACAACCAAUAGCAGACACGUUGUUUUUCUUUGUUUAUUUUUUGUGUUUUUUUUGUUUGAAAUGGAAAUAAAAAAUAAAGCAGUCCUCCGCAGAGGAGGGGUGGUGGAGGGAAUAUAUAUGUAGAUAUAUAAAAUAAUUGUCUCACAACUAGGGUGACAUACCUUGCCUGCUCACUCAAUUUUAGUGCUCCUUAGUUAUCCAUACUGACCAUCUAGUCUCUGUCACGGGAGAUCGCGGGCAGAGCGGCGAUCGUGCGUGCAGGCGGGCAAGGACAGGCAGACAAGCAGAAAUCGGGGCAAAGUACGGGGUUUAAUCGGGGACACGGAACUACGAACACUGACUGACAUCAAUGACGGACGAAGGACUCAGGUAAGACACGGACUGAAAUACACAGGACUGAGCAAAUGAACUAGAUACAGCUGGGUACAAUCGGGAGAAAACACGUGGGUAAUCAGGGGGCGUGGCACACAGGAGGAGCGGACGAGCCGGGCAUGACAGAACCCCCCCCCAAAGGCGCGCUACUCCGGGCGCGCCAAGGAAGGGGGCGACGGACGGGACGAGGCAAAACAGGACCUGAAAAACAAGAACAGAAUCAACGCAGGACGGGGAACAGGACCGAAGCACAAAACAUGGCAAGAGACAGAACGUAGGACAGGAGCUGACAAAGCGGAGAGACAGAUCUGUCACGGGAGAUCGCGGGCAGAGCGGCGAUCGUGCGUGCAGGCGGGCAAGGACAGGCAGACAAGCAGAAAUUGGGGCAAAGUACGGGGUUUAAUCGGGGACACGGAACUACAAACACUGACUGACAUCAAUGACGGACGAAGGACUCAGGUAAGACACGGACUGAAAUACACAGGACUGAGCAAAUGAACUAGAUACAGCUGGGUACAAUCGGGAGAAAACACGUGGGUAAUCAGGGGGCGUGGCACACAGGAGGAGCGGACGAGCCGGGCAUGACAGAACCCCCCCCCCAAAGGCGCGCUACUCCGGGCGCGCCAAGGAAGGGGGCGACGGACGGGACGAGGCAAAACAGGACCUGAAAAACAAGAACAGAAUCAACGCAGGACGGGGAACAGGACCGAAGCACAAAACAUGGCAAGAGACAGAACGUAGGACAGGAGCUGACAAAGGGCUGGGAAAGCGGAGAGACAGAUCUGUCACGGGAGAUCGCGGGCAGAGCGGCGAUCGUGCGUGCAUGCGGGCAAGGACAGGCAGACAAGCAGAAAUCGGGGCAAAGUACGGGGUUUAAUCGGUGACACGGAACUACGAACACUGACUGACAUCAAUGACGGACGAAGGACUCAGGUAAAUCACGGACUGAAAUACACAGGACUGAGCAAAUGAACUAGAUACAGCUGGGUACAAUCGGGAGAAAACACGUGGGUAAUCAGGGGGCGUGGCACACAGGAGGAGCGGACGAGCCGGGCAUGACAGAACCCCCCCCCAAAGGCGCGCUACUCCGGGCGCGCCAAGGAAGGGGGCGACGGACGGGACGAGGCAAAACAGGACCUGAAAAACAAGAACAGAAUCAAUGCAGGACGGGGAACAGGACCGAAGCACAAAACAUGGCAAGAGACAGAACGUAGGACAGGAGCUGACAAAGCGGAGAGACAGAUCUGUCACGGGAGAUCGCGGGCAGAGCUGCGAUCGUGCGUGCAGGCGGGCAAGGACAGGCAGACAAGCAGAAAUCGGGGCAAAGUACGGGGUUUAAUCGGGGACACGGAACUACGAACACUGACUGACAUCAAUGACGGACGAAGGACUCAGGUAAAUCACGGACUGAAAUACACAGGACUGAGCAAAUGAACUAGAUACAGCUGGGUACAAUCGGGAGAAAACACGUGGGUAAUCAGGGGGCGUGGCACACAGGAGGAGCGGACGAGCCGGGCAUGACAGAACCCCCCCCCCAAAGGCGCGCUAUUCCGGGCGCGCCAAGGAAGGGGGCGACGGACGGGACGAGGCAAAACAGGACCUGAAAAACAAGAACAGAAUCAACGCAGGACGGGGAACAGGACCGAAGCACAAAACAUGGCAAGAGACAGAACGUAGGGCAGGAGCUGACAAAGGGCUGGGAAAGCGGAGAGACAGAUCUGUCACGGGAGAUCGCGGGCAGAGCGGCGAUCGUGCGUGCAGGCGGGCAAGGACAGGCAGACAAGCAGAAAUCGGGGCAAAGUACGGGGUUUAAUCGGGGACACGGAACUACGAACACUGACUGACAUCAAUGACGGACGAAGGACUCAGGUAAAUCACGGACUGAAAUACACAGGACUGAGCAAAUGAACUAGAUACAGCUGGGUACAAUCGGGAGAAAACACGUGGGUAAUCAGGGGGCGUGGCACACAGGAGGAGCGGACGAGCCGGGCAUGACAGAACCCCCCCCCAAAGGCGCGCUACUCCGGGCGCGCCAAGGAAGGGGGCGACGGACGGGACGAGGCAAAACAGGACCUGAAAAACAAGAACAGAAUCAACGCAGGACGGGGAACAGGACCGAAGCACAAAACAUGGCAAGAGACAGAACGUAGGACAGGAGCUGACAAAGGGCUGGGAAAGCGGAGAGACAGAUCUGUCACGGGAGAUCGCGGGCAGAGCGGCGAUCGUGCGUGCAGGCGGGCAAGGACAGGCAGACAAGCAGAAAUCGGGGCAAAGUACGGGGUUUAAUCGGGGACACGGAACUACGAACACUGACUGACAUCAAUGACGGACGAAGGACUCAGGUAAGACACGGACUGAAAUACACAGGACUGAGCAAAUGAACUAGAUACAGCUGGGUACAAUCGGGAGAAAACACGUGGGUAAUCAGGGGGCGUGGCACACAGGAGGAGCGGACGAGCCGGGCAUGACAGAACCCCCCCCCCAAAGGCGCGCUACUCCGGGCGCGCCAAGGAAGGGGGCGACGGACGGGACGAGGCAAAACAGGACCUGAAAAACAAGAACAGAAUCAAUGCAGGACGGGGAACAGGACCGAAGCACAAAACAUGGCAAGAGACAGAACGUAGGACAGGAGCUGACAAAGCGGAGAGACAGAUCUGUCACGGGAGAUCGCGGGCAGAGCUGCGAUCGUGCGUGCAGGCGGGCAAGGACAGGCAGACAAGCAGAAAUCGGGGCAAAGUACGGGGUUUAAUCGGGGACACGGAACUACGAACACUGACUGACAUCAAUGACGGACGAAGGACUCAGGUAAAUCACGGACUGAAAUACACAGGACUGAGCAAAUGAACUAGAUACAGCUGGGUACAAUCGGGAGAAAACACGUGGGUAAUCAGGGGGCGUGGCACACAGGAGGAGCGGACGAGCCGGGCAUGACAGAACCCCCCCCCCAAAGGCGCGCUAUUCCGGGCGCGCCAAGGAAGGGGGCGACGGACGGGACGAGGCAAAACAGGACCUGAAAAACAAGAACAGAAUCAACGCAGGACGGGGAACAGGACCGAAGCACAAAACAUGGCAAGAGACAGAACGUAGGGCAGGAGCUGACAAAGGGCUGGGAAAGCGGAGAGACAGAUCUGUCACGGGAGAUCGCGGGCAGAGCGGCGAUCGUGCGUGCAGGCGGGCAAGGACAGGCAGACAAGCAGAAAUCGGGGCAAAGUACGGGGUUUAAUCGGUGACACGGAACUACGAACACUGACUGACAUCAAUGACGGACGAAGGACUCAGGUAAAUCACGGACUGAAAUACACAGGACUGAGCAAAUGAACUAGAUACAGCUGGGUACAAUCGGGAGAAAACACGUGGGUAAUCAGGGGGCGUGGCACACAGGAGGAGCGGAGGAGCCGGGCAUGACAGUCUCGAUACACCCAUAUAUAUUUUUUUUUGGGAAUAUGGUGGGGUGCAUGGGAUUCCGCCGUCUGCCAGCGGUGGGGAGCUCGUACCCUGACCACUUCCUCACUUUUAAUGUACCGCAGUUUUGAAUUGCACACACUUCUGUUCACACACACAUUCAUACACACCGACAUGUACAUACAUUACACACACACACAUUGAGCGGGGGGGCAGAUGGGGGCCUGAAGAGGGCCCCUUUUAUUCUCCCUCUCUGGGCCCUUGGAGGGUGUGGUGGGUGGUCCCGGGGGGGGUUUGGAGAGUACCCGGAAAACCUGCCUGGUCCUUGACCCACAGUGGCACAUCCUUGAUGAUAAUACGUUGUUGUAAAUUUGUAUUAUAUGAAGGUUGAUGUUGCUAUUUAUUGUUAUUGUUGUUAUCAUAACUGCAGCUGUACUUAUCAUUUUUGAUAAAAAAUGAAAAAAACAUUUUUUAUUUGAAAAAAAAAAACAGUCCUCCGCAGAGGAGGGGUGGUGGAGGGAAUAUACAUGUAAAAAAAAAUAAUUAUUAUAUGGAGGUUGAUGUUGCUAUUUAUUGUUAUUGUUGUUAUCAUAACUGCAGCUGUACUUAUCAUUUUUGUUAUUGCUAUUACUAUUGUUAUUUGCUCUAGUUGUUUUUCUUUCUUUUUUUUUAUUAUUUUUAUUUUCUUUUUGUUUUUCUUUGUUUUUGUGUUUUUUUUCUUCAUAAUGGAAAUUUAAAAUAAAGUAGUCCUCCGCAGAGGAGGGGUGGUGGAGGGAAUAUGCAUGUAAAAAAAAAUAAUUGUCACGCAACAGGGGUGACAUAUAUCUCCCUGAGCCUGCGCAGUUUGUCGGGUGUUAUGGGUGGUCCCGAAGGGGUCUGACCCCCUCUGCUGGUGGUGGGCUGGGUUGUUGCGUGAGUUGUGUCACUGUGGGUCAGGGUCCUGACGGGUAUUCCGGGUACUUUGGGACACUACGUGCGUCGAAGGCGGCUUUGUGGUUUGGUCUUGUGCUGGGUGGGGGUGCCUACCUUCUUCUGUGGCCCUGGGUUCGGCUUCCUGGAAAGUGGGGUGGGCCCUUUUCACGGCCCCCCUCUACUUCCCGCUCCCCCUCAGCACUACUGGUGGUCGCAUGCUGGGGGGUCAGAAUGGGGGGGGUGUCGCUGCUACUCCCCACAUCAACUAUUAGCACAUCCAUGGACAAAUCGCUACACUCACACACAAGCAUAAAUACAUACAUAUAUAGGUAUGCAUCCACACUUACCUGUACACCCCACACAUGUAGAUACACAUACACAACCAAUAGCAGACACGUUGUUUUUCUUUGUUUAUUUUUUGUGUUUUUUUUUGUUUGAAAUGGAAAUUAAAAAUAAAGCAGUCCUCCGCAGAGGAGGGGUGGUGGAGGGAAUAUAUAUGUAGAUAUAUAAAAUAAUUGUCUCACAACUAGGGUGACAUACCUUGCCUGCUCACUCAAUUUUAGUGCUCCUUAGUUAUCCAUACUGACCAUCUAGUCUCUGUCACGGGAGAUCGCGGGCAGAGCGGCGAUCGUGCGUGCAGGCGGGCAAGGACAGGCAGACAAGCAGAAAUCGGGGCAAAGUACGGGGUUUAAUCGGGGACACGGAACUACGAACACUGACUGACAUCAAUGACGGACGAAGGACUCAGGUAAAUCACGGACUGAAAUACACAGGACUGAGCAAAUGAACUAGAUACAGCUGGGUACAAUCGGGAGAAAACACGUGGGUAAUCAGGGGGCGUGGCACACAGGAGGAGCGGACGAGCCGGGCAUGACAGAACCCCCCCCCAAAGGCGCGCUACUCCGGGCGCGCCAAGGAAGGGGGCGACGGACGGGACGAGGCAAAACAGGACCUGAAAAACAAGAACAGAAUCAACGCAGGACGGGGAACAGGACCGAAGCACAAAACAUGGCAAGAGACAGAACGUAGGACAGGAGCUGACAAAGGGCUGGGAAAGCGGAGAGACAGAUCUGUCACGGGAGAUCGCGGGCAGAGCGGCGAUCGUGCGUGCAGGCGGGCAAGGACAGGCAGACAAGCAGAAAUCGGGGCAAAGUACGGGGUUUAAUCGGGGACACGGAACUACGAACACUGACUGACAUCAAUGACGGACGAAGGACUCAGGUAAGACACGGACUGAAAUACACAGGACUGAGCAAAUGAACUAGAUACAGCUGGGUACAAUCGGGAGAAAACACGUGGGUAAUCAGGGGGCGUGGCACACAGGAGGAGCGGACGAGCCGGGCAUGACAGAACCCCCCCCCCAAAGGCGCGCUACUCCGGGCGCGCCAAGGAAGGGGGCGACGGACGGGACGAGGCAAAACAGGACCUGAAAAACAAGAACAGAAUCAAUGCAGGACGGGGAACAGGACCGAAGCACAAAACAUGGCAAGAGACAGAACGUAGGACAGGAGCUGACAAAGCGGAGAGACAGAUCUGUCACGGGAGAUCGCGGGCAGAGCUGCGAUCGUGCGUGCAGGCGGGCAAGGACAGGCAGACAAGCAGAAAUCGGGGCAAAGUACGGGGUUUAAUCGGGGACACGGAACUACGAACACUGACUGACAUCAAUGACGGACGAAGGACUCAGGUAAAUCACGGACUGAAAUACACAGGACUGAGCAAAUGAACUAGAUACAGCUGGGUACAAUCGGGAGAAAACACGUGGGUAAUCAGGGGGCGUGGCACACAGGAGGAGCGGACGAGCCGGGCAUGACAGAACCCCCCCCCAAAGGCGCGCUAUUCCGGGCGCGCCAAGGAAGGGGGCGACGGACGGGACGAGGCAAAACAGGACCUGAAAAACAAGAACAGAAUCAACGCAGGACGGGGAACAGGACCGAAGCACAAAACAUGGCAAGAGACAGAACGUAGGGCAGGAGCUGACAAAGGGCUGGGAAAGCGGAGAGACAGAUCUGUCACGGGAGAUCGCGGGCAGAGCGGCGAUCGUGCGUGCAGGCGGGCAAGGACAGGCAGACAAGCAGAAAUCGGGGCAAAGUACGGGGUUUAAUCGGUGACACGGAACUACGAACACUGACUGACAUCAAUGACGGACGAAGGACUCAGGUAAAUCACGGACUGAAAUACACAGGACUGAGCAAAUGAACUAGAUACAGCUGGGUACAAUCGGGAGAAAACACGUGGGUAAUCAGGGGGCGUGGCACACAGGAGGAGCGGAGGAGCCGGGCAUGACAGUCUCGAUACACCCAUAUAUAUUUUUUUUUGGGAAUAUGGUGGGGUGCAUGGGAUUCCGCCGUCUGCCAGCGGUGGGGAGCUCGUACCCUGACCACUUCCUCACUUUUAAUGUACCGCAGUUUUGAAUUGCACACACUUCUGUUCACACACACAUUCAUACACACCGACAUGUACAUACAUUACACACACACACAUUGAGCGGGGGGGCAGAUGGGGGCCUGAAGAGGGCCCCUUUUAUUCUCCCUCUCUGGGCCCUUGGAGGGUGUGGUGGGUGGUCCCGGGGGGGGUUUGGAGAGUACCCGGAAAACCUGCCUGGUCCUUGACCCACAGUGGCACAUCCUUGAUGAUAAUACGUUGUUGUAAAUUUGUAUUAUAUGAAGGUUGAUGUUGCUAUUUAUUGUUAUUGUUGUUAUCAUAACUGCAGCUGUACUUAUCAUUUUUGAUAAAAAAUGAAAAAAACAUUUUUGAUUUGAAAAAACAAAACAGUCCUCCGCAGAGGAGGGGUGGUGGAGGGAAUAUACAUGUAAAAAAAAAAUAAUUAUUAUAUGGAGGUUGAUGUUGCUAUUUAUUGUUAUUGUUGUUAUCAUAACUGCAGCUGUACUUAUCAUUUUUGUUAUUGCUAUUACUAUUGUUAUUGGCUCUAGUUGUUUUUCUUUUUAUUUAUUUUUAUUAUUUUUAUUUUAUUUUUGUUUUUCUUUGUUUUUGUGUUUUUUUUUCUUCAUAAUGGAAAUUAAAAAUAAAGCAGUCCUCCGCAGAGGAGGGGUGGUGGAGGGAAUAUAUAUAUACAUAUAUAUAAAAUAAUUGUCACACAACUAGGGUGACAUACCUUGCCUGCUCCCCCAAUUUUAGUGCACCUUAGUUAUCCAACCUGACCAUCUAGUCUCGAUACACCCAUAUAUAUAUGUGUAUAUAUAUAUAUAUAUAGAUAUUUCUUCUUUUUUUUUUUUUCGCAAUGGACAAUAAAAAUAACGCAGUUCUCCGUAAAGGAGGGAUGGUGGAUGGACUAUAUAUAUACAUAUAUUUAAAGUAAUUGUCACACAACUGGGGUGACAUGCCUUGCCUGCUCCCCCAGUUUUAGUGCACCUUAGUUGUCCAUACUUACCAUCUAGUCUCGAUACACCCAUUUAUAUGUAUAUAUAUAGAUUUUUUUUUGUUUUUUUUCCCAAUGGGCAUUUAAAAUUAAGCAGUCCUCCUUAAAGGAGGGGUGGUGGAGGGAAUAUAUAUACAUAUAUAUAAAAUAUUUGUCACACACCUGGGGUGACAUGCCUUGCCUGCUCCCCCAAUUUUAGUGCACCUUAGUUAUCCAUACUGACCAUCUAGUCUCGAUACACCCAUAUAUAUAUGUGUAUAUAUAUAUAUAUAUAUAUAUAUAUAUAUAUAUAUAUAUAUAUAUAUUUUUUUUUUUUUUUUUUUGUGUUUUUUUUCACAAUGGACAAUAAAAAUAACGCAGUUCUCCAUUAAGGAGGGAUGGUGGAUGGACUAUAUAUAUACAUAUAUAUAAAGUAAUUGUCACACACCUGGGGUGACAUGCCUUGCCUGCUCCCCCAAUUUUAGUGCACCUUAGUUAUCCAACCUGACCAUGUAGUCUCGAUACACCCAUUUAUAUGUAUAUAUAUAGAUUUUUUUUUUGUUUUUUUUUUCGCAAUGGAAAAUAAAAAUAACGCAGUUCUCCGUGAAGGAGGGAUGGUGGAUGGAAUAUAUAUAUAUACAUAUAUAUAUAAAAUAAUUGUCACACACCUGGGGUGACAUGCCAUGCCUGCUCCCCCAAGUUUAGUGCACCUUAGUUAUCCAACCUGACCAUCUAGUCUCGAUACACCCUUUAUAUAUAUAUGUAUAUAUAUAUAGAUAUAUAUUUUUUUUUGUGUGUUUUUUUUCGCAAUGGACAAUAAAAAUAACGCAGUCCUCCGUAGAGGAGCUCUGGUGGAGGGAAUAUAUAUAGAUACAUAUAAAAUAAUUGUCACACACCUGGGGUGACAUGCCUUGCCUGCUUGAGGGAUGAGGAAGACUCAGGGACUGGAAAUGGGAUUGAAACUGAAGAUGUUCUCAUUCCUUUUUGUAUUGUUUCCAAUUUUCCUUCCCCCAGAUAUGAGGAGUUUGCUGCUAUAUUGUGCACUAAUUGAGAUUCUGAUGCUGGUAUUUUUAUUGUUUAUAAGUUUGUUAUUGUUUUCAAGUUCUUUUGUGCUUUUGCAUUUUUCCUUCUGUUUUAGUAAUUGCUGUUUGAUGUCUGUGAAGGAUGGGUGGGGUGAGAAAACUCAGGGACUGGAAGCGGGAUUAAAACUGAAGAUUACAUGCUCAUUCCUUUUUGUUUUGUUUACAAAUUCUCCUACCGUCUGAUAUGAGGAGUUUGCUGCUAUAUUGUGUACUAAUAGAGAUUCUGAUGCUGCUAUUUUUAUUGUUUAUAAAUGUGUUAUUGUUUCAUAAGUUGAGUAUUCAAUAAAUGCUAAAUUGAGA